rnacentral:lncRNA from 1 species
CACCCACCUAGCAUCCCUUUAGCAAAUUGGUGUUGGAAGGAGGUGCUUGUCUUUGGGGUCUGGGCAAAUCCAGUUGGGCUUCUUCCUUCAUAAUUGGCUGCAGGUUCCUGAAACAUGGAGGAGGGUAGGUGAAGAAUUCCAUGGGGAGGGCAGAAAGAAGGUGCCACAGAAUCCUCUUUGUGAUGCAAUAUCUUCACAGGUAAGACACAACUGAAUGAAGUGAACAGAGUUUUCUCUCUUUAUUUGGGGGUAUAGUUUUGUUUAGCGUAUUCUCUUUCUUUCUCCACCUCCCCAAUAGAAGGUUGCUUUGAAGCCUGNGUAGAAAUAUCUCAGUGAACCAUUUUACAUGUUUAUAUUUGAAGCUGUUUCUUUACUGUUGGAUAAACGUUUUGUAAAUUUUGAGCUAGCCUGGACUAUUGAGUUUUAAUAGAGCUUAAGUUUUGUGACAGAAAACUAUUGACUUGGUGUUUCUUCUGCUUUCGUUUGUGCGUCNUUUAGCACCUUGAAAUGAUUCAAUCCGUUUAGGUCCUUUUGAAUGCCACAGUUGACAUUUUAAGAGCCUUUCUUUUUCAUUGGAAAAGAAACUGAGAGAAUUCCUGGUGCCUGUCUGCAGUUCUUUCUUAGAAGAGAAUCUCUGUAUAUCUAUCCUUCCUUUCAAAUUCCGUUGACUAUCCAAGAUGGGGUCAUCUUUUUCAACGANAGGGAAUGGACCGUGCUGGACCCCCUGGAAAGAACCAUAUAACAUAAAGUCAUGUAGGAGAAUUAUGUGAAUGUGGCCUCCCUGGGUAGGGAACCCAUUUUUUUUUUUAUUAAAUUGUUAUAAAGUAUAAAAUUUCAUACUAUUCUAAAAACACCAAGCGAUGCAAUGGCCCUUNCUGCACUUGGC